AUGGGGCAUCAUUCAGAUGAUGAGUACUCAGUAGCCGGUGAUAAGCCGGAAGUAGAGUUCAUGGAUUUUCAGAAUGACAACACUCUUCAGGACUAUCAAUCUGAUGAUGGUCCCGUGGUUGUUACGGCUCCUUUCCCUUUUUUGAACGGAAAGCCUAAAUCUGUCCUUGUUGGACAAACAUCUGCAGACGCCAUUCGCAUAGAUAAUACCUCUUGUGAGCCUGUAAAUUUGUGGAGUGUGAGAAUAUUCUCUUCAAAUCCAGAAGAUAGUUAUGUCUUGUCAAUGAUGAGACCACCGUUGAAUGAUUCCGAUGAAGCGGCAAAGAAGGCUUUUCUUGGUUUGACUUCUGUGGAAGAUCGUACACUUCAGCCUGGACAAACCCUAACCAUUUGGCUGUCCUGUAUGCCAAAAGACAUUGGUUUGCAUACAUCAAUCGUGCAUGUUGAUAUUGGGGAUGAGAAGAUUGAGCGUGUGGCUUUUCUGUUGGCCGAUGAUAAUGUUUCAAUGGCCUUAUCUUCUGAUAAACCUUAUUCCAGGAGACAAGGCUCUCAAAGGAAGCAAUUUGAGUGUAAUACAUUUGUGCCAGGUAGCCGGCCAAUUCGGCAGCACACUCAAGGAUUCAAGUAUAAGCUACCUCAGUAUGCAAUACCUGUGGAAAUCCGUGAGCUCAUUGAAUGCAAACAGAGACCUGAUGUCCUAUCUGAAGAGCUGAGCAUGAUGAACUAUGCAAAGUUCUUUAGCACUCUUUUAGUCAUGGAAGAACUUAAUUUGGAGGAGGAGAUGAGAUCGUACGACAUGGAGCGUGUGUCAAUGAGAAGGAGGGGUAAUGAUUAUUUGUCUCUUGAGGUCCCUGGUUUGGCAGAAAAAAGGCCUUCGCUAGUCCAUGGUGACUAUAUAAUUGCCAGACAUGCUGGGAGUGAUGCUAGGCCUUAUCAGGGCUACAUUCACAAGGUUGAAGCUGAUGAGAUAUUUUUGAGGUUUGAUGAUCAGUUUCACCACGCUCACCAUGACAGGAAUAAGUAUGAUGUUAGCUUCACAUAUAAUAGAUUGAACAUGAGAAGGCAAUAUAGGUCUGUUCAUGAUGCAGAACUUAUUGGACCUGACAUUCUAUUUCCAUCCCUAUCACGGUAUAGAAGUGUGAAGAAGGUGCCAUUUAAACCUCUGAACCCGAACAUAAACACUGAGCAAGCUGAUGCAGUUGGGAUGAUACUUGGCUGCCGAGGGGUUACACCAUACGUGAUUUAUGGACCUCCAGGAACUGGCAAGACCAUGACCCUUGUCGAGGCGAUUUUGCAGCUUUAUAAAUCCAAUAGGAGGGCAAAUGUUCUCAUAUGUGCUGCUUCCAAUAGUGCUGCUGACCAUGUAUUGGAAAAACUGUUGAGUUCUAGCUACCCGAUCCGCCCAAGUGAUAUCUUUAGGCUAAAUGCUCCUAGUCGUCAGUAUGACGAUGUUAAUCCUGAUUUCAUACGGUUCUGCUUCUUUGAAGAUAUGGUGUUCAAGUGCCCUCCAAUGCGAGCAUUAAUGCGCUACAAGAUAGUUAUAUCAACCUACAUGAGUUCAUCAACCCUACAGGCCGAGGGUAUUCGCCCGGGGCAUUUCACACACAUUUUCUUGGAUGAGGCCGGUCAAUCUUCUGAACCAGAGGCAAUGGUUCCUUUGGCAGCUUUGUGUGGAAGAGACACAGUGGUUGUGUUAGCAGGAGAUCCUAUGCAAUUAGGGCCGGUGGUUUUUUGUAAACAGGCGGAUCAGGAUGGUUUGGGAAAAUCUUAUCUGCAAAGGCUGCUCGGUGAAUUUGAGCAGUACCAUUCAGGGGAUCCUAACUACGUGACAAAGCUAUUGAGGAACUAUCGUUGCCAUCCAGCAAUCCUAGAGCUACCGUCACAGCUUUUCUACAAGGGUGAACUUAUCCCCUGUAAGGGAGAUGAAGUGCCAUCUGUUUACGAUUGUAUUGGCCUUCCCAAUAAGUCAUUCCCUGUUCUGUUUGUUGGAAUCCAGGGAUGCGAUGAGAGAGAAGGCAACAAUCCAUCAUGGUUCAACAGAAUCGAAGUUAGUAAAGUAGUAAAUAUCAUCAGGACUCUGACAAGGAAUGGCGAUGUCAGUGAGGCUGAUAUUGGUGUCAUUACUCCAUAUCGUCAACAAGUUAACAAGAUAAAGAAGGCCCUAGAGACGUUUGAAAUGCCCGACCUAAGAGUGGGAAGUGUUGAGCAAUUCCAGGGCCAAGAAAGGGAAGUGAUCAUCAUCUCAACAGUCAGGUCAACCGUUAAGCACAACGAGUUUGACAGAUUCUUCAACCUGGGGUUCCUGAGCAACUAUAGAAGGUUCAAUGUCGCAAUUACUCGUGCCAAAUCGUUGCUAAUUAUCGUCGGAAACCCUCACAUCAUCACUAAGGAUCGGCACUGGGAUAAGCUCCUGAGGUACUGCGCAGACAAUGGUUCUUAUCAAGGAUGUCCGCUCCCCCCACCAGAAGAAGAGGUCAGAUACUCGGGAUACGGCGACACCCGAGACCAGCCUGCUGGUGAUGGUUGGGGGUACAACCAAGAGGAGCCAUCAAACCACAUCCACAAUCAAGACCGGUCUGACAGUGGCUUCAGACACGACAAUGGCCGGUCCUCAACCGCACACGAAGAAGAAUGGUCCGAAGAAUGGUCCAAGGAGAAGCCAGACGGGGACUUACAUUCAUAUCCGGAUGCAGGAGCAGAACCUCAGGCAGAGACACAGCAGAAGCAGCAGCACGUCGAGGAAGAGGUUACUACUGGGCAGGACGACGUGCAGGCUGGCCACUGCUCAGCCAACGAUGUCGACAACGGUGCGGUCCAAGACGCAUAUGUGCAGAAGUACACGUUUCCUCCCGGUUGGGGUGACGUCUCGAGCAUCCCCGCGACAGGCUGGGAGUGA
rnacentral:rRNA from 1 species